CGAAAAUUGCCAUUUUCGACGAUAAGAGAUCCAAAAAAUUCACAUUUUUCACCCAAGCACCACACAAUCUAGCUACUCAUGCUAGUAUCAAACCGAAUAAAUGUAAAAAAAUUCAAUUGAUUAACAACAAAAAUUACAAAUUUGUGCGAGAAAACUAACCGAAAUAGUUUCGCUUGGUGGUAGAUAGUGGUCGUUGAUCGAAGUUGUGGCGUCUGUCGGCCGGUUGUUGAUCAGAUUGUUUCUGUGGCAACUCCUCCAUCGGUUUUCUUUUGGAUCGGUCGGUUAGGCUUCGAAAACAGUUUAUAAUGUGGAA
rnacentral:lncRNA from 1 species